rnacentral:rRNA from 2 species
AGGGGAGUGAAAAAGAACCUGAAACCGUGUACGUACAAGCAGUGGGAGCCCCACCACCAAAGCAUUCUCUGGUGUUGAAGGCCCUGCAAAGCAGCAUCGCGGUGGCGGAGCGUCGUUUGCGACGCCCAACACACAAAACAAGCGGUGAAUGCUUUGGGGUGGGGUGACUGCGUACCUUUUGUAUAAUGGGUCAGCGACUUAUAUUCUGUAGCAAGGUUAACCGAAUAGGGGAGCCGGAGGGAAACCGAGUCUUAAUUGGGCGUUAAGUUGCAG